rnacentral:tRNA from 1 species
AUUUAUAUAAUUUAACAAAAAAUACUACAUUUUCAUUGUAGAUUUAGAAAUA